rnacentral:rRNA from 1 species
GAUGAACGCUGGCGGCGUGCUUAACACAUGCAAGUCGAACGAUGAAGCCCAGCUUGCUGGGUGGAUUAGUGGCGAACGGGUGAGUAACACGUGAGUAACCUGCCCUUAACUCUGGGAUAAGCCUGGGAAACUGGGUCUAAUACCGGAUAGGAGCGUCCACCGCAUGGUGGGUGUUGGAAAGAUUUAUCGUUUUUGGAUGGACUCGCGGCCUAUCAGCUUGUUGGUGAGGUAAUGGCUCACCAAGGCGACGACGCGUAGCCGGCCUGAGAGGGUGACCGGCCACACUGGGACUGAGACACGGCACAGACUCCUACGGGAGGCAGCAGUGGGGAAUAGUGCACAAUGGGCGCAAGCCUGAUGCAGCGACGCCGCGUGAGGGAUGACGUCCUUCGGGUUGUAAACCUCUUUCAGUAGGGAAGAAGCGAAAGUGACGGUACCUGCAGAAGAAGCACCGGCUAACUACGUG